rnacentral:rRNA from 1 species
AACGAACGCUGGCGGCGUGCUUAACACAUGCAAGUCGAACGCGAAAGGGACUUCGGUCCUGAGUAAAGUGGCGCACGGGUGAGUAACGCGUAGAUAACCUGUCUUCAUGUCUGGAAUAAUACGCCGAAAGGGGUACUAAUACCGGAUAUUCUUGCUUUUCAUAAGUUAUGCAAGCAAAGGUGGCCUCUGCAUAUGCUACUGCAUGAAGAGGGGUCUGCGUACCAUUAGCUAGUAGGUGGGGUAAUGGCCUACCUAGGCGACGAUGGUUAGCGGGUCUGAGAGGAUGAUCCGCCACACUGGCACUGGAACACGGGCCAGACUCCUACGGGAGGCAGCAGUGAGGAAUAUUGCGCAAUGGGGGAAGCCCUGACGCAGCGACGCCGCGUGAGUGAAGGAAGGCCUUCGGGUCGUAAAGCUCUGUCAAGAGGAAAGAAGUGUACAAUGGCUAAUACCUGUUGUAUUUGACGGUACCUCUAAAGGAAGCACCGGCUAACUCCGUGCCAGCCGCAGC